UAGGGAAUCUUCCACAAUGGACGCAAGUCUGAUGGAGCAACGCCGCGUGAGUGAAGAAGGUUUUCGGACCGUAAAGCUCUGUUGUUGGUGAGGAAGGAUAGAGGUAGUAACUGGCCUUUAUUUGACGGUAAUCAACCAGAAAGUCACGGCUAACUACGUGCCAGCAGCCGCGGUAAUACGUAGGUGGCAAGCGUUGUCCGGAUUUAUUGGGCGUAAAGCGAGCGCAGGCGGAAGAAUAAGUCUGAUGUGAAAGCCCUCGGCUUAACCGAGGAAUUGCAUCGGAAACUGUUUUUCUUGAGUGCAGAAGAGGAGAGUAGAACUCCAUGUGUAGCGGUGGAAUGCGUAGAUAUAUGGAAGAAUACCAGUGGCGAAGGCGGCUCUCUGGUCUGCAACUGACGCUGAGGCUCGAAAGCAUGGGUAGCGAACAGGAUUAGAUACCCUGGUAGUCCAUGCCGUAAACGAUGAGUGCUAAGUGUUGGGAGGCUUCCGCCUCUCAGUGCUGCAGCUAACGCAUUAAGCACUCCGCCUGGGGGAGUACGACCGCAAGGUUGAAAC
rnacentral:rRNA from 1 species